ensembl:miRNA
GCCUGAGUGCCUGCUGAUUGAUGUCUUACCAGACAAAGUUAGAUCUAGCUAUUUUCGUCUAAUACUGUCUGGUAAUGCCGUCUAUCGCAUUGGCUAAAUCUUCGCCU